AGAGUUUGAUCCUGGCUCAGAAUCAACGCUGGCGGCGUGCCUAACACAUGCAAGUCGAACGAGAAAGUGGAGCAAUCCAUGAGUAAAGUGGCGCACGGGUGAGUAACACGUGACUAACCUACCCUUGAGUGGGGAAUAACUUCGGGAAACCGAGGCUAAUACCGCAUAACACCUACGGGUCAAAGGAGCAAUUCGCUUAAGGAGGGGGUCGCGGCAGAUUAGUUAGUUGGUAGGGUAAUGGCCUACCAAGACGGUGAUCUGUAUCCGGCCUGAGAGGGCGCACGGACACACUGGAACUGAAACACGGUCCAGACUCCUACGGGAGGCAGCAGUGGGGAAUUUUGCGCAAUGGGGGAAACCCUGACGCAGCAACGCCGCGUGGAGGAUGAAGUCCCUUGGGACGUAAACUCCUUUCGAUCGGGACGAUUAUGACGGUACCGGAAGAAGAAGCCCCGGCUAACUUCGUGCCAGCAGCCGCGGUAAUACGAGGGGGGCAAGCGUUGUUCGGAAUUAUUGGGCGUAAAGGGCGCGUAGGCGGUCGGACAUGUCUUGUGUGAAAUCUUCGGGCUCAACUCGAAGUCUGCACAGGAAACUAUCUGGCUUGAGUGUGGGAGAGGUGAGUGGAAUUCCUGGUGUAGCGGUGAAAUGCGUAGAUAUCAGGAGGAACACCUGUGGCGAAAGCGGCUCACUGGACCACAACUGACGCUGAGGCGCGAAAGCUAGGGGAGCAAACAGGAUUAGAUACCCUGGUAGUCCUAGCCCUAAACGAUGAUCGCUUGGUGUGACGGGUACCCAAUCCCCCCGUGCCGAAGCUAACGCGUUAAGCGAUCCGCCUGGGGAGUACGGUCGC
rnacentral:rRNA from 1 species